CUGACUUGUCACUUCGUAGAUGCUUCUACAAAGUUGCAGCCGAAGGCAUAGUCAGCCUGAAGAUAAAGAAAAGGAAAUAUGGCAGAUGCUUCUCCAAAGUUGCAGCCGAAGGCAUAGUUAGCCUGAAGAUAAAGAAAAGGAAAUAUGGCAAACACACAGAGCAAACCACAAGUUUCUCAUCAAUCAUACAACUUUAAAUGGGCCGUGUUCAGCUGCUAGAGUAUAAUCCCUAAAUCAUUUUCAAUAUUUUUUUCCCCUUUACUCCACUAUUUUCUACUUCUCUAUAGGAAAUCUGACUUCCCACCACAUUAUUUGCAGCAACAAUAUUCAACUCAAUUAUUCCAGGUUCAGCUGCCACUAGCCUGAAUUUCUGUUGCCGAAAUCCCUCUCUCUUACAAUUUCAAUACACGUGUUUAUUAACAUAAAAAUAAUAGUAAAAAACUCCUUUAUAUUACUACAUUGUUCAUAAAAUUUCCAGAAAUUUAAUUUAAAAAUUUACCCCCUGCACUCUCAUAUCUUCCCAUUAUCCAUGUGAAAUCUAAUUUCGCACCAACUAUAUUAUUAGCUACAAAUGAUUCACGUCACAAAUCUCACAUUAAAAUUUCACUAACCUUAAUGAUGGUUUACACAAUCCUUUCCAUUUCUUCAAUACGACCACAACAAAUCUACAAGUCACCACAAUCAUCUUUGAAAAUUUAAUCCGGCGUCGCUGCUGCAGCUGUAGUCACACACUAUUAUAAAACUGGUGGUUGCUUUAGGGAAAUCGCUCACGUCAGGCCA
rnacentral:lncRNA from 1 species